rnacentral:rRNA from 1 species
AGUUCGGAUUGAAGGCUGAAAUUCGCCUUCAUGAAGCCGGAAUUGCUAGUAAUGGCAGGUCAGCAUACUGCCGUGAAUACGUUCCCGGGCCUUGUACACACCGCCCGUCACACCAUGAGAGUUGGGAAUACCCGAAGCCUGUGAGCUAACUUUUAGAGGCAGCAGUCGAAGGUAGAANCAAUGAUUGGGGUGAAGUCGUAACAAGGUAGC